UACGUAGGUGGCAAGCGAUACUCGGAAUCACUAGGCGUAAAGCGCAGGUAGGCGGUUUAGUAAGUCUUUUGUGAAAGCUCCUGGCUCAACUGGGAGAGGUCAAAGGAAACUACUAGGCUAGAGUUUGGUAGGGGAUACUGGAAUUCCUGGUGUAGCGGUGAAAUGCGUAGAUAUCAGGAGGAAUACCUAUGGCGAAAGCAGGUAUCUGGGCCACAACUGACGCUGAGCUGCGAAAGCUAGGGGAGCAAACAGG
rnacentral:rRNA from 1 species